rnacentral:snRNA from 1 species
GUGCUCGCUUCGGCAGCACACAUACUAAAAUUGGAAUGAUACAAAGAAGAUUAGCAUGGCCCCUUUGCAAGGAUGACACACAAAUUCGUGAAGCAGUCUGUAUUUUU